GAUGAACGCUGGCGGCGUGCCUAAUACAUGCAAGUCGAGCGAAUGGAUUAAGAGCUUGCUCUUAUGAAGUUAGCGGCGGACGGGUGAGUAACACGUGGGUAACCUGCCCAUAAGACUGGGAUAACGCCGGGAAACCGGGGCUAAUACCGGAUAACAUUUUGAACCGCAUGGUUCGAAAUCGAAAGGCUGCUUCGGCUGUCUCUUAUGGAUGGAUCCGCGUCGCAUUAGCUAGUUGGUGAGGUAACUGCUCACCAAGGCGACGAUGCGUAGCCCACCUGAGACGAUGAUCGGCCACACUGGGACUGAGACACGGCCCAGACUCCUACGGGAGGCAGCAGUAGAGAAUCUUCCGCAAUGGACGAAAGUCUGACGGAGCAACGCCGCGUGAGUGAUGAAGGCUUUCGGGUCGUAAAACUCUGUUGUUAGGGAAGAACAAGUGUUAGUUGAAUAAGCUGGCACCUUGACGGUACCUAACCAGAAAGCCACGGCUAACUACGUGCCAGCCGCCGCUGUAA
rnacentral:rRNA from 1 species